UUAAGCGACUAAGCGUACACGGUGGAUGCCCUGGCAGUCAGAGGCGAUGAAGGACGUGCUAAUCUGCGAAAAGCGCCGGCGAGGUGAUAUGAACCUUUGACCCGGCGAUGUCCGAAUGGGGAAACCCAGUGCAAUCCGUUGCACUAUCGUUAACUGAAUACAUAGGUUAACGAGGCGAACCGGGGGAACUGAAACAUCUAAGUACCCCGAGGAAAAGAAAUCAACCGAGAUUCCCCCAGUAGCGGCGAGCGAACGGGGAGCAGCCCGGAGUCUGAAUCAGCUUGUGUGUUAGUGGAACGGUCUGGAAAGUCCGACGGUACAGGGUGAUAGUCCCGUACACGAAAGCACACUUGCUGUGAACUCGAAGAGUAGGGCGGGACACGUGGUAUCCUGUCUGAAUAUGGGGGGACCAUCCUCCAAGGCUAAAUACUCCUGACUGACCGAUAGUGAACCAGUACCGUGAGGGAAAGGCGAAAAGAACCCCGGCGAGGGGAGUGAAAAAGAACCUGAAACCGUGUACGUACAAGCAGUGGGAGCCUCUUUAUGGGGUGACUGCGUACCUUUUGUAUAAUGGGUCAGCGACUUAUAUUCUGUAGCAAGGUUAACCGUAUAGGGGAGCCGAAGGGAAACCGAGUCUUAACUGGGCGUUAAGUUGCAGGGUAUAGACCCGAAACCCGGUGAUCUAGCCAUGGGCAGGUUGAAGGUUGGGUAACACUAACUGGAGGACCGAACCGACUAAUGUUGAAAAAUUAGCGGAUGACCUGUGGCUGGGGGUGAAAGGCCAAUCAAACCGGGAGAUAGCUGGUUCUCCCCGAAAGCUAUUUAGGUAGCGCCUCGUGAAUUCAUCUUCGGGGGUAGAGCACUGUUUCGGCUAGGGGGCCAUCCCGGCUUACCAACCCGAUGCAAACUACGAAUACCGAAGAAUGUUAUCACGGGAGACACACGGCGGGUGCUAACGUCCGUCGUGAAGAGGGAAACAACCCAGACCGCCAGCUAAGGUCCCAAAGUCAUGGUUAAGUGGGAAACGAUGUGGGAAGGCACAGACAGCCAGGAUGUUGGCUUAGAAGCAGCCAUCAUUUAAAGAAAGCGUAAUAGCUCACUGGUCGAGUCGGCCUGCGCGGAAGAUGUAACGGGGCUAAACCAUGCACCGAAGCUGCGGCAGCGACGCUUAUGCGUUGUUGGGUAGGGGAGCGUUCUGUAAGCCGUUGAAGGUGUCCUGUGAGGGGUGCUGGAGGUAUCAGAAGUGCGAAUGCUGACAUAAGUAACGAUAAAGCGGGUGAAAAGCCCGCUCGCCGGAAGACCAAGGGUUCCUGUCCAACGUUAAUCGGGGCAGGGUGAGUCGACCCCUAAGGCGAGGCCGAAAGGCGUAGUCGAUGGGAAACAGGUUAAUAUUCCUGUACUUGGUGUUACUGCGAAGGGGGGACGGAGAAGGCUAUGUCAGCCGGGCGACGGUUGUCCCGGUUUAAGCAUGUAGGCGGAGGUUCCAGGUAAAUCCGGUACCUUGUUAACGCUGAGGUGUGAUGACGAGGCACUACGGUGCUGAAGUGAUAAAUGCCCUGCUUCCAGGAAAAGCCUCUAAGCAUCAGGUAACACGAAAUCGUACCCCAAACCGACACAGGUGGUCAGGUAGAGAAUACCAAGGCGCUUGAGAGAACUCGGGUGAAGGAACUAGGCAAAAUGGUGCCGUAACUUCGGGAGAAGGCACGCUGAUAUGUAGGUGAAGCCCCUGCGGGCGGAGCUGAAAUCAGUCGAAGAUACCAGCUGGCUGCAACUGUUUAUUAAAAACACAGCACUGUGCAAACACGAAAGUGGACGUAUACGGUGUGACGCCUGCCCGGUGCCGGAAGGUUAAUUGAUGGGGUUAGCGGCAACGCGAAGCUCUUGAUCGAAGCCCCGGUAAACGGCGGCCGUAACUAUAACGGUCCUAAGGUAGCGAAAUUCCUUGUCGGGUAAGUUCCGACCUGCACGAAUGGCGUAAUGAUGGCCAGGCUGUCUCCACCCGAGACUCAGUGAAAUUGAACUCGCUGUGAAGAUGCAGUGUACCCGCGGCAAGACGGAAAGACCCCGUGAACCUUUACUAUAGCUUGACACUGAACACUGGUCCUUGAUGUGUAGGAUAGGUGGGAGGCUUUGAAGCGUGGACGCCAGUCUGCGUGGAGCCAACCUUGAAAUACCACCCUUUAAUGGCUGGUGUUCUAACGUAGACCCGUAAUCCGGGUUGCGGACAGUGUCUGGUGGGUAGUUUGACUGGGGCGGUCUCCUCCCAAAGAGUAACGGAGGAGCACGAAGGUUGGCUAAUCCUGGUCGGACAUCAGGAGGUUAGUGCAAUGGCAUAAGCCAGCUUGACUGCGAGCGUGACGGCGCGAGCAGGUGCGAAAGCAGGUCAUAGUGAUCCGGUGGUUCUGAAUGGAAGGGCCAUCGCUCAACGGAUAAAAGGUACUCCGGGGAUAACAGGCUGAUACCGCCCAAGAGUUCAUAUCGACGGCGGUGUUUGGCACCUCGAUGUCGGCUCAUCACAUCCUGGGGCUGAAGUAGGUCCCAAGGGUAUGGCUGUUCGCCAUUUAAAGUGGUACGCGAGCUGGGUUUAGAACGUCGUGAGACAGUUCGGUCCCUAUCUGCCGUGGGCGCUGGAGAAUUGAGGGGGGCUGCUCCUAGUACGAGAGGACCGGAGUGGACGCAUCACUGGUGUUCGGGUUGUCAUGCCAAUGGCACUGCCCGGUAGCUAAAUGCGGAAGAGAUAAGUGCUGAAAGCAUCUAAGCACGAAACUUGCCCCGAGAUGAGUUCUCCCUGAGACUUUAAGUCUCCUGAAGGAACGUUGAAGACUACGACGUUGAUAGGUCGGGUGUGUAAGCGCAGCGAUGCGUUGAGCUAACCGAUACUAAUGAACCGUGAGGCUUAACCUU
rnacentral:rRNA from 1 species